rnacentral:rRNA from 1 species
UAAGGAAUAUUGGUCAAUGGACGCAAGUCUGAACCAGCCAUGCCGCGUGAAGGAUGAAUGUCGUAAGAUUGUAAACUUCUUUUAUCUGGGACGAAAACGGGAUUUUUAUCUCAAUUGACGGUACCAGAGGAAUAAGCACCGGCUAACUCCGUGCCAGCAGCCGAGGUAAUACGGAGGGUGCGAGCGUUAUCCGGAUUUACUGGGUUUAAAGGGUGCGUAGGUGGGCUUAUAAGUCAGUGGUGAAAUCUCCGAGCUUAACUUGGAAACUGCCGUUGAUACUAUAGGUCUUGAAUUAUCUGGAGGUAAGCGGAAUAUGUCAUGUAGCGGUGAAAUGCUUAGAUAUGACAUAGAACACCAAUUGCGAAGGCAGCUUACUACAUAUAAAUUGACGCUGAGGCACGAAAGCGUGGGGAUCAAACA